UACAGAGGUCCCAAGCGUUGUUCGGAUUCAUUGGGCGUAAAGGGUGCGUAGGCGGCGCGGUAAGUCGGGUGUGAAAUCUCGGAGCUUAACUCCGAAACUGCAUUCGAUACUGCCGUGCUUGAGGACUGGAGAGGAGACUGGAAUUUACGGUGUAGCGGUGAAAUGCGUAGAUAUCGUAAGGAAGACCAGUGGCGAAGGCGGGUCUCUGGACAGUUCCUGACGCUGAGGCGCGAAAGCGUGGGGAGCAAACAGG
rnacentral:rRNA from 1 species